rnacentral:rRNA from 1 species
UACGGAGGAUCCAAGCGUUAUCCGGAUUUAUUGGGUUUAAAGGGUCCGUAGGCGGUUUAGUAAGUCAGUGGUGAAAGCCCAUCGCUCAACGGUGGAACGGCCAUUGAUACUGCUAGACUUGAAUUAUUAGGAAGUAACUAGAAUAUGUAGUGUAGCGGUGAAAUGCUUAGAGAUUACAUGGAAUACCAAUUGCGAAGGCAGGUUACUACUAAUGGAUUGACGCUGAUGGACGAAAGCGUGGGUAGCGAACAGG